rnacentral:rRNA from 1 species
GGCGAACGCUGGCGGCGUGCCUAAUACAUGCAAGUAGAACGCUGAAGGAGGAGCUUGCUUCUCUGGAUGAGUUGCGAACGGGUGAGUAACGCGUAGGUAACCUGCCUGGUAGCGGGGGAUAACUAUUGGAAACGAUAGCUAAUACCGCAUAAUAGUAGAUGUUGCAUGACAUUUGCUUAAAAGGUGCAAUUGCAUCACUACCAGAUGGACCUGCGUUGUAUUAGCUAGUUGGUGGGGUAACGGCUCACCAAGGCGACGAUACAUAGCCGACCUGAGAGGGUGAUCGGCCACACUGGGACUGAGACACGGCCCAGACUCCUACGGGAGGCAGCAGUAGGGAAUCUUCGGCAAUGGACGGAAGUCUGACCGAGCAACGCCGCGUGAGUGAAGAAGGGUUUCGGAUCGUAAAGCUCUGUUGUAAGAGAAGAACGAGUGUGAGAGUGGAAAGUUCACACUGUGACGGUAUCUUACCAGAAAGGGACGGCUAACUACGUG